UACGGGGGGGGCAAGCGUUGUUCGGAAUUACUGGGCGUAAAGGGCUUGUAGGUGGCCAACUAAGUCAGACGUGAAAUCCCUCAGCUUAACUGGGGAACUGCGUCUGAUACCGGAUGGCUUGAGUUUGGGAGAGGGAUGCGGAAUUCCAGGUGUAGCGGUGAAAUGCGUAGAUAUCGGGAGGAACACCAGUGGCGAAGGCGGCUUUCUGGCCUGUUCUUGACGCUGAGGCGCGAAAGCUAGGGGAGCAAACGGG
rnacentral:rRNA from 1 species